rnacentral:ncRNA from 1 species
UUCCUGGUUGAUCCUGCCAGUAAUAUAUGCUUGUUUCAAAGAUUAAGCCAUGCAAGUCUAAGUGCACACAGUAGGUACAGUGAAACUGCAAAUGGCUCAAUAAAUCAGUUAUGGUUCCUUUGAUUGCUCCAAGAUUUAAAACCCAUGCGGCUGCAUGGAUGGAACAAAGGGCUCAUGCAUAUUAUCUUUUAAAGGCCCUGGUGGUGUGCUGAGAAGAUGAUCAAACUCAGUCAUUUAGAGGAAGUAGAAGUCGUAACAAGGUUUUUGUAGGUGAACCUGCGGAAGGAUCAUUA